rnacentral:rRNA from 1 species
AUGAACGCUGGCGGCGUGCCUAAUACAUGCAAGUCGAGCGAACGGACGAGAAGCUUGCUUCUCUGAUGUUAGCGGCGGACGGGUGAGUAACACGUGGAUAACCUACCUAUAAGACUGGGAUAACUUCGGGAAACCGUAGCUAAUACCGGAUAAUAUUUUGAACCGCAUGGUUCAAAAGUGAAAGACGGUCUUGCUGUCACUUAUAGAUGGAUCCGCGCUGCAUUAGCUAGUUGGUAAGGUAACGGCUUACCAAGGCAACGAUGCAUGGCCGACCUGAGAGGGUGAUCGGCCACACUGGAACUGAGACACGGUCCAGACUCCUACGGGAGGCAGCAGUAGGGAAUCUUCCGCAAUGGGCGAAAGCCUGACGGAGCAACGCCGCGUGAGUGAUGAAGGUCUUCGGAUCGUAAAACUCUGUUAUUAGGGAAGAACAUAUGUGUAAGUAACUGUGCACAUCUUGACGGUACCUAAUCAGAAAGCCACGGCUAACUACGUG